rnacentral:lncRNA from 1 species
UUGUUUCUCAUUUCUACUGUUAACAUUACUGCACUCUGCCAACUGGGUCGGUGUUACCAUCUGUCACUUGGGGAAUGUGUCUGUCAAUUAGCACUUCUACAAUGCUAUCUGUCGACUCACAAAAGUUACCAGGAAAAUAACUUGUAAGCUACUGUCAGGAGGAAAUUGAACUAGGUAUCAAGUUCUUUAGAAGUACAUUUAUUUCAACAGUAUCUGUGUGUCAAAUAGUGAUGAACGCCCUUUUUAACUAGAUGAGAAAGUGAAAUUUGUCUCUUCAAAGAAACUUCUAUAAGGAACCUACAGCAAUCAAUGAGGCAAGCUUCCAGCCAGCUACAAUAUAUAUUCUUAACUGAGAGUGUUUCCUUGAAACGUUGGAAAGCAAAGGAGAAGUCAUUGUCCUCACAAUGCUGACUAUGCCCUCCAUCACCACUGAAGAGGCAAUUUACUAGUGUCUGCUGAGACAAGGAAGCUCCAAAUUACUGAGAAAAAAAAAUGUAUUUCAACACCUCUGGAUGUUUCUCCUGUACCAUAUCCCAUAGCCACUGCUCAAUAAUUUUAUGAGGCAGAUGAAUGCCACCUAGAUGGUGGUAUGAAUAAACAAGGCAGGUUGGACCGAGUGUACUUGGGUAGUUACUUUAAAAACAAGAACUAGAUCUGGCCAACCAGUGGCCAGCAGGCCAUUCUUGGGGGACCAUUAACCUGUGAUUGCUAUAAGUCAUUCAGGGAGAACACAAUUGUAAAUUGUAUUUUCUUUCCAGGGUCACCUAUGAACUCUCAGGAACUUUGCUUUUUGUGUGA